GCCCAUUAGCACUAUAGAUGUACCUCGGUAAAGCCAUAGCUAGAGCCUUUUUUUUAUAAGACUUCAUUAGCACUGUCAAAUAUAUCGGUGUUCCAACCAAGACUUAAAGUGUACCGAAUAGCCAUAUUAGUGUUCCGUUUCUGGCUAUGAUGUGAAAAAUCAUGUCUUCACUAUAAAAGUGGUCAUAUCACUACUAGAUAUAUGGGUGUGCUCUAUACCACUACAGAUGCACCUCAGUAAAGCAAUAGCUAGAGAUUUUUUUUAUAACA
rnacentral:lncRNA from 1 species